rnacentral:rRNA from 1 species
CAGGCCUAACACAUGCAAGUCGAGCGGUAGAGAGAAGCUUGCUUCUCUUGAGAGCGGCGGACGGGUGAGUAAUGCCUAGGAAUCUGCCUGGUAGUGGGGGAUAACGUUCGGAAACGGACGCUAAUACCGCAUACGUCCUACGGGAGAAAGCAGGGGACCUUCGGGCCUUGCGCUAUCAGAUGAGCCUAGGUCGGAUUAGCUAGUUGGUGGGGUAAUGGCUCACCAAGGCGACGAUCCGUAACUGGUCUGAGAGGAUGAUCAGUCACACUGGAACUGAGACACGGUCCAGACUCCUACGGGAGGCAGCAGUGGGGAAUAUUGGACAAUGGGCGAAAGCCUGAUCCAGCCAUGCCGCGUGUGUGAAGAAGGUCUUCGGAUUGUAAAGCACUUUAAGUUGGGAGGAAGGGCAGUAAAUUAAUACUUUGCUGUUUUGACGUUACCGACAGAAUAAGCACCGGCUAACUCUGUGCCAGCAGCCGCGGUAAUACAGAGGGUGCAAGCGUUAAUCGGAAUUACUGGGCGUAAAGCGCGCGUAGGUGGUUAGUUAAGUUGGAUGUGAAAUCCCCGGGCUCAACCUGGGAACUGCAUUCAAAACUGACUGACUAGAGUAUGGUAGAGGGUGGUGGAAUUUCCU